CUGACAGCCCCAGAGACUGGAGUCCUCUACUUAUCCACUGAACAGGGACAAUCUGUGCUGCAACUGUGCAAAUUCUCCAUAUGCUGCUCUUAUCCUGCAAGGCUCAACCUUAACCAGGAAGAACCAACCGCAGAGUUAAGAUGGGCAUUCAGUCUCCAUGGCCCAUUUAGUCCUUGGCCUCU
rnacentral:sRNA from 1 species